UACGUAGGGGGCAAGCGUUGUCCGGAUUUAUUGGGCGUAAAGAGCGUGUAGGCGGCCUGACAGGUCUGCUGUGAAAACUCGAGGCUCAACCUCGAGAUGUCGGCGGAAACCGUCUGGCUAGAGUCCGGAAGAGGAGAGUGGAAUUCCUGGUGUAGCGGUGGAAUGCGCAGAUAUCAGGAGGAACACCAAUAGCGAAGGCAGCUCGCUGGGACGGUACUGACGCUGAGGCGCGAAAGCGUGGGGAGCGAACAGG
rnacentral:rRNA from 1 species